rnacentral:misc_RNA from 1 species
UCUCUGUUCUCUGGCGGGCCAGCAUGGACGAGAGAGUUCUUUGGUUCGCUGGUAAGCUCCAGGAAACGUUUCGUUUCGGCGGAUACGACAAUCCAUCAGUAUUGGAGGACUUUCUUGCUGAUUUUGAGGUAGCAGAGCUAAUCACUAAGUUCCUCUCUCCAGGUGAACCAAGGAAGCUUUUCUUUUACUGCGAGGAAAAUAGAGACGAGGACACUGGUAGAUCUUCUAGUGCUCUUUGCAGGCAGCUCAGAGUUACGUCUAAGAUCACUAAAAGCUUCUUUACGUCAGUUCAAAAUGACAGAGUUUGUUUAUACGUGUUGAGGAAGGAUCCAGUUAAAGAGGUUGAUUCGUCUACAAUUGACAGGGAGCUCUACUGUGGAGAGAUAAGGCAGUCUGUACUAACAUCUCUUUCUAUGUUACUUUCCAAUGCCUACUCACCUCUUCUUCACUCACAGAGUAAUUGGGGUGAGUGCUCUAAAGAAAGUGUAGUAUCCUUUCUUUCUGGUUUUGAUAAAUUAACCUCUCUCAUACAAGAAAUGGCUACGCAGUCUUUGAGUCAAGAACCUCUCUUGCGUCAGCCUUCUCCCUCUCUUAAGUCUUUAUUGAUGCAUUUUCAAGUGGCUGGUAAUAGAAUGUCUCUUAGUGAUAAAGCUAUUGGUGAAUGUGAGACUAUUAUGGCUGACUGGAUUGCAGUUAUUGAAGGAUUAUUAAUAGAUACUACUGAUGAAAGGAUGGAAGAUCCACUUGGUCUUCCAUUGGCAGAGAAGCAGAAAUGGGAAAGAAGACAGAUUUUAUUAUUUUCUGUUAUUGAACAGUUGAAGUGGAGGGAAAGCACAUCAGUCAUAGCAACAUUAGCAGCUGCAAAAUCAAAACAUAUUAAAAAAUGGAGACAAGUUGAUACUCAAUUAACAGAAGCAUUUAAUGGUUGUAAAGACAAAGUUUGGUAUUUGACUUCCAUACAGACACAGAUGGACUUGAUACAGUCAGCAGUAUCAGUAUCAAUACUUACCAAUGAGCUGGUACCAUCACUGUCAGCUGUCAUUAAACAAAUGGAUGGACUAUCAAGAUUAUAUGCUAAAACUGGAUAUAUUGCAGUUGUACUAAAGAAAGUAUCAAAUCAGUUGACAGUAAAGUGCCAGGAUAUACUGUACACCAGUUGUAGACAUUCCAUUAAGCAACAAGAGACUGAUGGAGUGCCUAACUCCAUUUGGGGCCUGAUAUUUAAUGAUGAGAAGGUGGUCGAAACUGCCUCACUCACCGCCUCUCCCACAUUGGUUGAUUUUAUGAUGAGGUUGAAAGAUGUUAUUGAUCUUGCUGGGGUGUACAAAGACACUGUGCAUCAUCUAAAAGACACUUUACUUAUUCAGCAGACAUUUACUACUGGAGGAGGAGCUGUGGGUCUGGUUAGUAAACGUCCUGUUGUCAAGUCUUUGGUUGCUGGGGCAAGGGGAGGAGCUAAGAAGAUGAGCUUAAUGUGCUCUAGUAAUAGUACAUUGCAUGCAGCUAGUGAUAUUGGCGGUAUCUCAAUGCCUCAUAUACAGUCUGGCCUGUCUCUCUCACUUGUAUCUGAUAUUAUGAUGUCCCUUUCUGAUCUGUCUGAGAGGUGUACUCAAGUAAUAAAGCUUAUUGAGUCAGUUCGUACUCUAAAGAAUCUCUGGCCUAGACUUACUGGACUGCCAAGAGUAGAAGGAAUAUGGGACAACCCCAUUGAGGAAAAGAAGGAUAAAGAAGAUACGAUAGAUGCAUAUUCAACAUGUUCUUCCUCUCCCUCUCUCUCUACCUUCUCUUUGGUAUAUUCUAGUGAAGAUGUGGACAGCAUUGCUUACUUAGUAAAGUCUGUUCUGUCGUCAUUGAUGAGUUUAUUUGUUGACGGUACUCCUAAUGGUGCCAUUCAAGUAUUUGCUGUCAGUGGUAGAGAUAAGAUAGUAUUUGAUCCAUUGUAUAAGAGAUAUGAAGAAAUAUUGAGCACAGUGCAGGGACAUAUUUGUAAUUAUUUGACAUCACUUAUUAAUAAUGUUCAAGAGUCUGACAGAUCCUUAAGCAUACUCUCAAGGUUCAAUUUGAUAUCCUCUUGGCCAAGGAUGCAGUCUACACUUCACCAGUGUUUAAUGAUUGCUUUUAAAAAAUACUCCAAUGAGUUGAACUUAUUGCAAAGAUGUUAUGAAAAUCAAAAAAGAAAUCCUCCAUUGCCUAGAGGUAGGGCACCAGUUAUGGGGGCAGUCGAAUGGGCUCGGGGUUUGUUAAAAAGAGUAGAAGAACCUAUGUUGGUUUUUAGAGAAGAUUCUAUGCUAAUGAAAACACCAGAGUCUCAUCAUGUGUGUACCUUACACAAUAUAUUGGCUACUACCUUAAUUCAGUAUGAGGCAAUAUUGAUUAGGCAGUUGAAAGAAAGGAUGGAUAAAACACUAAAUGUUCUUAUGACGUCACCACUAUUGAGACUGGAGGAUAAUGAGUCCACUGGUAAUAAGAACACUGAAAUCACUGUUAACUCUGAUAAUGGGUUAUUGCAGUUGUUACAAGAAUGCAAAGCAAUGAAACAGCUACUUGUACCAUUAUCUUCACCUGCUCAAUUGUUUCUGGGGCAGGAGUUGAGGAUUAAACAGUUCAAUCAACAUUUACAUUUUGCUGUCAGUGUAUUUAGAAAUACUCUCAAUAAGAUUGAUGAUAAAUUAAAUCCUUUAUUUGAUGAAACUAUUGACACUGUUUUGAGAUUUUACUUACCUGGAUGGACUACAUUAAGCUGGAGCUCGCUUAACAUUGAUCCUUACUUACACUUAUUGGAUGUAUCCACUGGAUUAUUGGACUCCAGCAUUUGUAAAUGUAAUGAAAUAUUAAAUGACAGGAUAUACCCUCUAAUCGAUGGCAUCAUUAAUACUGAUUUAAUUGAUGUUAAAUUAGCUACUAGUAAAAUAUGGGUACCUAGUGAAUUCUCUCAUUCAAUGAAGUCACAAAUGGAAUCUAAAAUUGACGAAAUGAUGAUUAAAGUAUCAGAUAUCAAGACGUCGUUAUUUGAUAUAUUUACUGAAAUUCAACUAACUCAUUCUAAGCUUAAAAAAUUGUUAUCUGAUCACAGCAAUAAUAUGAAUAAAAGUAAAGAUUUCAUACCACUAGUACUACCAGCAAAUAAUACGACAUCACUAAUGAGAGGAGGAGUCAAAAAGCCAAAGAAAUUAGCCUCGUCAAAACAGACACUAGGAGCUAGUAAUGGCAAUAAUAAAAAGAAGGCACGAGAACCCCAAUUUACUGAUGCCAUGCAGAAAGUGUUGUUCAGAUUUUCCACUCUAGUGCAAGUAGCUAUUGGUGAACUUAUCUGUAACUCAAUAAAAGUACUAUAUGAUAUAGUAUGUGUUGACAUUAAAGGAGAAGAAGAGAAUGGAGGAGUCCAGAAUAAAAGAGAAGACAGCAGCGUCACUACAUCUUCAAAUACCAUUCUGUUACAAUUAGAAUUAAUGCUUUAUAUACCAAAGCUAGUUCUAGUUCCUAAUAUACGUGAUAUAUAUGACAUUGUGGUAGAGCUAUUAUUGAUGAUAGCAGGUCUGUUUAACGGAGUGGAUAUGUGGGGAUUCGAAAGACGAGAAGAGGAAGUUGAGGAAGAAGAAGAGAGUUUGCUUGAGUCUAAUAGGGAGAAGGUUGUUGACACUGUUCAUGAUAUUAAGCAAAAGUUGAAGAGUUAUUUUGAAGCUCUAGUCCCGCAAGUGUCAUAUUUCACUGAUUCUUUAAAAAAAUUUGAUCAUCUUUGGAAGGAAGAUUUGGUUUCUGCUCACAUUAAGUUUCAGCGUACAAAGCCACAUCCAUGUGAUUGGAAAUUUAAAGUAUUGCAGUUAGUGGAAAUAGAAAAUGAAAUAUUAUGUAUUCCAGUGUCACUAAUAUUUGGUCCGGUACAUCUCAUUACAACUCCUCUUAAAUCAACUUUAAGGUCUCUGUCAUCAAACUGGAAGACACAGUUCUCCACACACCUACACUUAAUGGCAAGGACUGCUUUAAAAACUCUAGUAGAGCAACAGGUCACAAUGUCUCAAGUACUUACCUCAGAGGUGUGUACUGGGGAUCUUACCUUUUUACGUGAAGUAUUGGAGUUGUUAGAACAUAUGGAUGAUUUACAGCAUUCCAUUGAUGAUCAAUAUUUACCUGUUGAAGAAAUGUACUUACAAUUGAAAGAGUUUGGCAUCACAUUGGAGAGGAAAGAAUCGGAAGAAGUUCAUGGUUUGAGGACAAGAUGGAAUGAUCUUAGUGACGCUGCCAAUAGAGUAAAAAAUCUGUUAUUAGUUGAUCAGAGAUUGAUACACAUCCAAGAAACUGUAAAACAAGUUAAAGAGUUUGUUGUUCAAACAAUUCAAUAUCGUAAUACCUUUGAUACUGAGGGACCACUGGUCCCGGGAUUGACGCCUACUGAAGCUGUGUCAAGAGUUGGUUUUUUUAUAGAGAAAUGUGAAGAGUUACAAAGGAAGAGAGAUCUCUUAGAUGCUGUUCAGAAAUUAUUGAACAUACCACUGUCACCAUAUCCUGAACUGGAACAUACCCAAGAGGAGUUGUCAUAUUUGAAAACUUUAUACAGUAAUUAUCAAGAUUUUAUCCUCUUUGAUGAAGAAUUUAGGCAAAUUCUUUGGUGUGAAGUUGACCUUACGCUAGCAAUGAAUGAGACUGACCUGUUUUGGAAUGCAUUCUGUUCAUUACCACAAGAACAACAAGACUGGGAGGCAUCUCAUAAACUAAGUCAAGGGAUUACACAUUACAGACAAAUAUUGCCAUUGCUGAAUAAACUCCACAAUAAACAAAUAAGAAGUAGGCAUUGGUUGCAAAUUAUGUCAGUCACUGGUCAUAAUUUUCCACUUGAAGCCAGAUUAUUCAAACUUGAUCAUUUACUAGAAGCUGAUUUGUUACGUUUUUCUAUUGAUAUUGGUUGUAUUAUUGAUAAUGCUAGAAGAGAACAAGAACUGGAACAAGAUUUUUUGUCAAUUGAAGAAGAAUGGAGUGAACAAUGUUUCCAGUUUGAAAUACAAUCAUCAAGUUCCCUUCCUCUCCUCUCUACGUCAGCCUCCUUAUGUUUAUUAGAACAUCUAGAGACCACUCAGACAACACUUGUGUUAAUGCUCUCAUCGCCACACAUACAUCCACUGAGGAAUGAGACUGCACAAUGGGCUGGUAAACUUGCUACCAUCACUGAAAUAUUGCAACUGUGGCUCACUGUACAGGAGUUGUGGCUUAGUUUACAACCUGUAUUUAAUAGUAAAAUAGCAUCAGAAGAUUUUCCAAAUGAGUCAGUAUCAUUUAGUAACAUAACUGAAGUAUGGACAUCAAUGAUGUAUCAGACUAGUUCGCUUAAAAACUGUAUACAGUGUUGCAUUACCAGUGAGUAUCCUAUUCUUCCUGUAUUAAUAAAACUAAAAGAGGACCUUGAAAAAUGUAAAAUGUCUUUAUCAUCUUAUUUGUCCAAGAAGAGACAAUGCUUUAAUCGUCUUUAUUUUAUACCUGAUGAUGCUCUCCUGUCAUUGCUUAGCAACUCACUCUCACCUAAUCUGAUUGGUCCAUAUCUGGGAAGCUUGUUUGGGGGUGUGGCAAAUUUGGUUACUGAUCCUGAUAAUGUGUCUGAUGUAAUAUCUGUGAAAUCAGUGGAGGGGGAAGAGCUACAACUAGCAAAAACUGUACAUAUGAGUGCUGAUGUAGAGGAAUGGCUAUUGCUAUUAUUAUUAUCGACUAAAUCAACAAUACAACAAUUACUGCUGCAGUCAAUGGACUCUGAUCUACCCUCAUUAGAAGAACUGGUUUUAUGUCAACUGUCACAAGUUGCUUGCAUUAGCCUACAUCAUCAGUGGACAAAAGACUCUGAACAGGCUCUUGCUAGCUGUAGAUAUGAUAGGAGGGCAUUACCUGGCCUCAGAUCCAAGUUCAAUAAUACAGUUGUAAUGAAGUUAAGUUUAUUGAUAAUGAGGCAGUCAUGGAAGCAUUCUGAUGAACCAGUGACACCUUUACACCAGAGGAAAUUGGAAUCACUAAUGACUUUGUCACUAUGGUUACGGGAUAUGACAGAUGAUUUGUGUCAGAGGAAGAUCAGAGAUGCCAUGGACUUUGAAUGGAUCAGAUUUCCAAGACUAUUGAUACACAUGUCUAGUUCUGGUGAGCAGGAGAUAAAGUUACACAUAUUAGAUGUUCAGUUGUCUUAUUAUAAUGAAUAUCUUGGAUGCAAAAGAUUACCAAUAUUCACUCCCAGAACUAAUAACUAUAUCAUUUCAUUGUCACAGGCAUUUCAUAGUAAUAUUGGGAGUUGUGUUGUGUUACCACCAGGUGUUAAUAAUUCUGAACUUAUUAAGGGAGUUGGUUAUUUGGUAGGACAGUUUAUUCCUACAUUACAGUGUACUUCUUUGACUAGUCCUUCUGCAAUAGUUACUUACCUCACUGGUAUUGCACAGGAUGGCUGUUGGGCAUGUAUGACUAAUGUGCAUUUAUUAUGUAAAGAAAGUAUAUCAAUAUUAUGUUCAUUAUUGAACAACAUAUUUGAUAAAUUAAAAGAAAGUAAAACCAUAACUUCACUCAAUACUGGAAUGGAGAUGUUAAAGAUCAAUCCAUCGAUGUCUGUAUUCCUCACUCAUAUUCCUUCUUGGUCUUUACCUACUAGUAUAAUAACUUUAUUUCGUUCAUUUUCAUUUCCUUUACCUGAUCAUCAUAUCAUAUUAAGAUGUUACUGUCUCUCACUUGGUUUGAAAGGAUCUAAAAUAUUGAUGCAUAGACUGGAGACAUUAUUAACAUUGAUUGCAGAUCAAAUUCCGUAUCAUGAAGUAUACACUUUGACUCCGUUAUUGUGCCAUUCACUUGAAUUAGCUAUUAAAAGAUCACAUACCACUCCUCCUCCUCCUCUCCAUCAAGCAAUACCUAAUGCUCCUGUCGGUAAUAAACCAGAUACCAACAGUACACCUCCUAAUAUGUCCAAGCAUCAAACAUUUGCACGUUUGUAUCAGAGAGCAGUACAUAAAAUUACUACUAGUAACAUUAUAUCUCAGUCAUUGAAUGCAGCAACUAUAAGAGAACACACCGUUGUAGCUGAAACUAUUGCUGUAUUAUUAGGGGCUAGAUUUACUAGUCAGGAGUUGCCAGUAUUUCGUUCAAUUAUAGAGAGUGUAUUUUAUGAUUGUCCAGAGAUCACUGCGAGGAUCACAUCUCCUGAAAUUCAUCAUAAUUUAUCAUCUUUCCUUCAGUCUACCUCUAGUUUUAAGAGUCAGUUAUUGCUGUUGGAAGAACAAACUAAACUAAAUGGACUGAUGCCAAUGAAGAACUGGAUUAGAAAAACUGAACAAGUUUAUAUUACGAGUAAAACAAAACAUGCUCUGGUGUUAUCAGGAAGAGAAGCUUCAGGAAAGACAAGCUCAUUAAAGACAGUUAUAUCUACACUUAAUUCAAAGGAGGGAGAUAAAGAGUUGAAAACUGUGAGACUGCAGAAAGUGUAUCCAAAAGUUUUUUUGGAUCUAUCUGAGGUGUUUGGAUGCAUGUCUGACACUGGUACAUGGAGGGAUGGAGUGUUUACUACACUAAUAAGGAAGUCUAUUAAAGCAACACAAACUACAGUAUGGAUUUGUUUUGAUGGUCCUUUGGUGGAAGAUUGGUUUAAUCAUAUUGGAGAACUACCACCUAAUAAAUGUAUAAGUCUUGGUAACGGUGAACAUAUACAGGUACAUACUGAUACUAUUAAACUAGUUUUUGAAACUGGUCAGUUAUCAAAUGCAUCUCCUUCAGCUCUUGUACACUGUGGUGUAGUGUGUUACGAUUCACAAGUUUUGGGAUGGAGGGCACUUGCUUCAUCAUGGCUUAAGAAAAGGAAGAGAAAUGAAUCAAUGUGUCUGCAAAGGCUGUUUGAAUCGUCAGUUGACAAUGUUUCACAUUUCAUACUUAAUAAAUUAGAUUAUCAAGGUAGAGAAACUGAGGUUGGUUUAUUUCAAUCUUGUCUUGGUUAUCUCUCAUCACUACUCAAUGCAUAUACAGAUACGGCUGAGGUGUUCAGUGAGUUACAUGUUGAAAGGAUAUUUUUAUUUUCUUUGAUAUGGAGUUUUGGAGGUGUACUAUUGAGAGACAGUGAACGAGAGAAAUUCAGUCAAUUAUUGAGGCAGCAUACCACUAGUUUACCAGAUGAUGAUACAGAGUAUUCAGUGUUUGAUUACUAUGUUGAUGAGUCAGGAGAGUGGGAUGUGUGGCAGAGCAAGUUACCAGAGGAAAGGUGUCAAGGAGUUGAUCUGUUAGGAAGAGUUUAUGUAGAAACACCAACCACUGUACGUAUUGAGAUGUUAUUGGAAUUGUCAUUGACUGCAAAGAAACAUGUACUAUUAAUUGGGCCUCAUGCUAGUGGAAAAACUGUCAUACUAGACCACUUUUUGUCUGCUAGAGCUUUGCAUUUUUUUAAAACUGAAUCCGUUAAAAGAUUUGUUAGUAAUGGUAAUACUGAUUCUAGUGAUCUUCAACAAUUUAUGAAAAUUAAUUUACACCAUAGACAAGGAUAUACAUAUGGUCCAUCAGAUGGGCGUGGUCUUCAUGUUUUAUUAGAUGAUCUUCAUUUACCAGAUAAUAAUAAUAUUUCAUUUUAUGAGUAUUUGAGAGAGUUAAUUGAUGAUCAAGGCAUGUAUAAUUUGGUUAAGUCAAAUCAGUAUGUAACAAUUGAGGAUGUACUGUUUUUUGGAUCACUGUCUAGUGAUAAUGGGCCAUACAUUUUAAAUCCAAGGCUUAAAAGGCACUUUAUUACAAUACCUAUUGAUGAAUUACAUGACUCUGAUUUAUCUGAAAUUGUUCCAUUAGCAUUAACAAAUUUCACUUCUUUAAUGACCUCGGUAUCAAGUGAUUUGUUUCAGUCUUUAUCUGAUGCAUCGAGAGCACUAUACAAGUGUGUUAGCACUGUAUUUAAGAAGUCUGACACUCCUGGAAGACAACAUUAUUUCUUUUCUCUUAACUCACUUGAAUCAGCACUACCAGGCUUAGGAUACUUGCCAAAUUUAUCUAACAAUCAAGAGUUUGCUCAUCUGUGGUCAAGUGAAAUGAACAGAGUUUUUGGUCUCUCAAUAUGUCGUGAAGAAGACAAGAAAUGGCUCCAUGACACCAUAUCUGCCAUUAGUAUCAAAUCAUUUAAAAUUGAUGGAGAAAACUUGGUUGUUGAUUCUCCAGUUUUAUUUAGCAGUAUAGCACCACAUUCAUCAGCUCAAAAUAAUUUAUCUAAUAAAAUAACUCCAUCACUUAAUACAAUGCCAUCAGUUACAUUAUAUUGUAUUGAUAAAUGGAAGAGCAUUGAAGAAACAAUACAUUAUUAUAUUACAAGAUAUCAAGAGGAAGGAUUGUCAACUGUGCCUAUUAAAUUAGAACUCUCUGAUGAUAAUUUACAUGUUAUUGCAUCAUUGCACAGAGCAAUAAAGCAAACCAGAGGUAAUUGUAUAUUGGUUGGAUCAUUAGGACAACCUAUACUUUCAUUAGCUAAACUGGUGUUGUAUAUUUCUGAUUAUGACAUUCAUGUUUUACCUGAUAAUAAUGAUGGAGGUGGUGUUGGUAAUGAAUCAUAUUCUAUUAAUGAUAUCGUAAAGUCAUUGUUUCGUUUGGCUGGCCUUGAAGGAAAACAAGUUGCACUCAUUAUAGAGGAGUGUCACUUACAGUCUCCUACAGUAUUGAGUAUAUUAAAUAGCUACAUGUCAUCCAGUGAGAUACCUACAUUAUUUACUGCUGGAGAGAUGUCUGGACUAAUACAGGCACUACUUCCAUCAAUUAAAAGAGACUUUCCAAGUGAAAUGAUAGAUCCUGAACAAUACUUCACUGCUCGUGUUUGUCAGAAUUUAAGGAUUAUAGUCUGUGUUACACCACAUUGUAAUAUACUUACUGAUAAAGCACAUUAUUAUCAAGGUAUGUUGCAGCAGUCACACAUUAUAUGGAUGGAUGAGUGUAACAUACAAACAAUAAGACGUCAAACAGCAUUCUUUCUAACGGACAGCCCCCUCUCAAUGUGUAUACCAGAGGAAUAUAUGUCAUUACUAAUAGACAAAGUAUCAUUAAUACAUCAUAAUAUGUUAAUUAAUACUGGAUCAAUGGACCAAACUGGACCAUCGCUCCAAUCAGCACCACUUGAUAUGGAGACCACCGAAUCUUAUUAUUAUUUAUUAGAGAAGGUGAAUAUACUUCUUAGUAAAGGAGAAAGAGAGGUCCUACCCAUACCAUAUGUUGGUCCUCUCUCCUUGAGGAAUUUCCUUGAGUGUCUUUGCAGAAUGUACAAAGAGAAAAGCGAACUUGUUUUUAAGGAAGAAAAUAAUUUAAAAAAAGCAUUGAGUACAUUAACAAAUGUACGUGAAUCAGUUGAUGAUAUGCAGGCUACACUGGAUAUAUUGAAACAUAAACUCUGUACAACCAGUGCACAGUCAACUGAACUAUUGAAACAAGUUACUACCAAAUCUUGCCAACUAGAAAGAACCAAAGCACUAUUAGGUACAGGAGGCCCAGUGUUAAGUGCUAUGAGAAUGGUGUCAGAACAAAAAAGAUUAUUAACAGAAAACGAAGAAGACGAUCAGGAGCUACUUGCAGUAUUUUUUAAUCAACUGCCAAAUAAAAGUACAAGAAUAGAAAUGUUAAUGGAGAGAGCAAAAGAGAAACUUAAGAUAGCAGAGAGAGAGGAGAGAGAAACAAGAAAAGCCAUGGCAAGAACUAAAGAGCAGGCUCAGUAUUGGCAGAAUAAAAUAGAUCGUAACACAAUAGACGAAAUAAAGACAUUACCCAACCCACCACCACUAGUAGGCACGAUAAUGGAACUAAUGCUACAACUGUUAAAAGCAACUCCAACUCCUUCCUCGCCUUUAACUGGUCCAACUGUUUUAACUAGAAAGUCUUCUACUGUUACUAGUUCUAAAAGUAGCUCUGAGAAGGAUUACUGGACACAAUUACAAUUGGCUAUUGGGGACUCACAGCAUUUCCUUGAUCUUAUCAAUAGUUUAAAAUGGGAAGAUGGUCUGAGCCAGGAUUCUGUUAAUUUAGUAGAAUCUAAAUUACAUGUGUCAACAAAUUACAAUAAUGAUUGUAGUAGUAAUGAUGGUGAUAGUAGUCAGCCUCCUCUAGUUCCAACAUCCUCGUCACUUAUAUCUGUAUCAAUGGCCAGACAUGCUUCAGAAGCAGUGUCAGUCCUGUUUGAGUUUGCUGUAUCAAUUGUUCAAUACCAGUAUUCAUUUGAACCUCAUAGUAAUGCCGUUUUUAAAGUUGAGAAGAUUAAAAAGGAUAUUGAAGCAUUAAAAAGGGAGGUACCUAUUGAUAUGACACCAGAACAUAAAUGUCAGUUCCAUGAUCAGUUACAUGCUACAACUGAUGAUGAUAAAGAUGAGGAUGUGUCUGAAGAUUAUUUGAAGUUAUUGGAAGAAGAGCUUGCUGAGUUAAAAAGAAAAUUUGAUGAGACUGUAAUGGAAAAACAUAAUCUAUCUAAGACUUGUCAACAGCUGGUCACCAAACUAAAAUUAGCAAGAAAUCUUUUAGAAAGUUUAAACUCAAGAUUGGAGGAAUGGGGUCAAGUUUUAAAUGAUCUUCCAAUGUGCGAAAUGUUGUUGAACACUGUCAUCAUAGCAUCUGCUUUUCUUACUUAUUGUGGAGCAAUACCAACUAGAUCACUACAAGAGUCUUUAGUACACAUAUGCACUGAAUGUUCUCCUCACUCAUUGUCGACAAAUUGUAAUCCAAUGGAGUCAUUGAUAUCAUUUUUACUGACACCAGCUCAACAUCAAUCCUUGUCAUUAGAAGAAUUACCAAUGGAUCAUCACACUGUACUUAUUGCUUGCAAUAUCUUAUCAGAGUAUACUUCACAAUGGCCAUUGGUUAUUGAUCCUCUUGGAAUGUCUGUUAGUUGGUUGGUAACUCAUUUUGAGAGAGAAAACAGAGAAGGUGAAGACAGGAGGAAGAACAAAGAUUCCCCUGUUAUUGUGACACAAUAUGAUAAUACAUCAUUAUGUAAUGUAUUGAUACAAGCUGUCAGCGAAGGCAAGAUAUUAAUAGUUGAUAAUGUUGAUGUGCAUCAUUUGGGAUCUACCAGGGAUAAUACAUUUAGUUCUGUACUUAACUGUAGACGAAAGCUAUCUAUCAAAAAACCAUUAAAAAUUGUUAUCGAUGGUAAAGAAGUUGAUUGCAGCUACAAAUUUAGGCUCAUAUUAGUUACUGGAGCAAGAUCAGUACCCAAAAUUCUGUCUUCAAAUUGUUCUGUGGUUUUAUUUUAUCCUGAAAGCCUUGGAUUGCAUUCACGUCUAAUUGAUGAGUUCCUAAAGACUCAGGGUAUUAAGACUUUCCUUGAAAGAGCACAAUUGAGAAAAGAUAUUUAUUCAUACAUAUUGAAGUGUGCUAGUGUCAAUAAGCAGUUACUUAUAGCAUUGGGUAACGAUGGUGAAAUGGAAAUGGAGGCAAAAUCUAUUAACAAGUUACUGUCACUUAAUAAAUCCUUUGAAUUUUCACAGGAAAAUUUAUUGCAGUCAAGAGAACAAUAUAAAGAUAUGACUACGUAUCAAUUAUCAUCAUUCAAUUCACUGGCCAAUAGAUCAGCCAUCAUUAUAAAUACAGUUUUAUUAAUGAGCCAUGCUCACCCUCUUUACUGCACAUCAAUGGAGUAUGCACUAAAUGUCUUUAAAAACUAUAUAAUGCAAGCAGGAACGCGUGUGCAAGGAGAGGAUGCUUUGUCAAAAUUGACAAGAUUUGGUCAUUCUCAUUUUGAAAAGGGUUACAUGGAAAUGGAUAAACAAGUUUUUUCAUUAUUAUUAGCACUUAAUAUUGAAGCUGAUCAUGGUAGAGCUUCUUCUCAAGAGAGGGAUUUCUUCAUUAAUCCUGUACCUGGCUCGAAGUAUAUAGUUAGGGGUUUACUGAAUCAGUUACCCUUUGAGAACCUUCCGGUUGUUAAUUUUGGUAGAAAACCAUUUGACUGGAUGAAUGAAGAUCAAUGGCAAAAACUAUUGUUGAUAGCGUCACACUUUGAAUGGAUACAUACUAUAUUAAAUAAUCUUGGUAGAGAUGGUAAAGAAGCAAUUUGGAGAACAAUUAGUGAAGGAUCUCAUCCUGAAACUGUAUUCAUUGGAUUAAAAUUGACUCCGCUACAGCUACUUCUUUUACAGUGGGCAAUUAGACCUGAAAGAAUUACACAAUUUUCCCUAGUUUUUGUUGCUACAGUUUUAGAACUAAAACCAUUAAGUCCAAAUUAUCUUGACUUUCAUGGAACAGUUAAAUUAUUGCCCAGCACUGUGUGCCCAUUAUUGUUGUAUAAGAAUGAUCCACAAAUAUAUCUAAUUAAACUCCAGCAUCUUGCAAAUAGAAACCAGGUUAAAUUAUCAUUGUACAAAACUGAAAGUGACUCAAAAUUUGAGGAAAUAAAAGAACUUAUGGAUGCAAUUAACCAUUUACUAGAUGAGAAUGAAUGGGUAGUAUUACAAGGAAUUAACAAAUGUCCUUUGUUAAUGGAGGAUAUAAUCAAGAUAUUAAAAAAGAGACAGAUUAAAGGAAUAGGAGCACUAGGUGGGAGGUUGUGGCUGUCAAUUGAUAUACAAACAAUCAAUUAUACUCCAACUACUUUGCUGAAGUAUUGCUAUAGGAUAGCAAUGGACUAUCCAAAGUUACCUAUCAAUGCUUUGACUGAUUUUCUUUUAUUGUGUGGUCAGGAUGAUAUUAUAUCUUUAAGUCCAAGAACAGAAUGGCUGCCAUUAUUACACUCAUUGUCUCUGUUCCACAUUGUAGCUACACUGAGAAAAGAAUUCUAUCCAUAUUCAUUUCAAUAUGAGUAUCCAUGGACGUACAUGCAUCUCAAUGAUGCCCUUACAUUUAUAUUAAAAGAAUUUGUUAAGUUUGAUUCCAGUGGUAGGCUGAGUUUAACUCCUGUUUCAUGGAGUGGCAUCAGAUAUAUGAUUACUGAGGUUAUAUAUGGUUCUAUGGUUACUAGUUGUGUUGAUUACAAGGUUCUUAUUGGUUUAACUGAGCACUGGUUUCAUCCAGGAGGUCCAAAGAAAGAAAGUGGUUUGUACCAUGUACCUACAAUAUUUUUUACACCAAACACAAGGACGCCAAGUCUGAUACAAUCAGUUGAGAAUGCAUCACCACCUUUAGUACCUAAUUCAAUGCUAUGUGGGCUCCAUAAUACCACUGAUAUACAAAUUGGUUGGAAGGACAUGCUGUUUUCUACUCUUCGGUAUCUCCAUAAGCUAAGAGAGUCCAACGAAUCAUGCAGUACUCUGUCUAUUAUUCCACUCACUCCAUCCCUGAUAACAACAACUGGUGUCUCAUCUCGUGGAUUCCCACAGGCAAUGUCAGCAAUGAGUGUAAUGUCAUCAGCUGGAAAAAAAGGAUAUCAUCAGGGACCAGUUGCAGCUGUGCAUAUAUUAGAUAGACUUCCGUCAUUCAUUGUCCUGCCGAUUAAUGUAUUGAGCUUUCAUUUAGAUUAUACAAGAGUUGAUGUCAUCCCAACUGCUAUUAAUGAUUCAUUGCUGUCUAAAGAUUUACAUACUGGUUUACUGCGCAAUGUAACCAAACUAAUAGAUGGAUUUGUUAUUGGUUGGAAGAAGUUUUCUUUGCUCCGCAGAUUCUACUCUGCCCAUUCUUUACUGCCACUCUGGAGAUACUAUGGUCAUAUCAGUUUAGUUUGGACCUCAACUCAAGGAGAUGCUGUGUAAAGUACUCGUGACAUUGGAAGACAGGCUCGAGGAGUCUACGACUGGCCACCAGGCUCAUUGUAGUCUAAUUCACUGCUAAUUUAUUUUGUAUUAAGCGUUAGCUCUCAGUAUCAUUAUCAUAUUUUUGUCAUUAUUGUACUCUUAAACUUGUGUUAUAAUAUUUUAUUUAUAAAAGAUUCAAGCGUCUUGCAGUUUGAUCUUGGUACUAGCAGUUGCUUCUUUGCUUGACAGAGCACCCUUCCUUACUUCUUGUCUUUGUAUUGAACCAUAUAACAUGAGAUUAAGGAUGUAUUGUAUGAGAGAUUACGUAAAUAUCAUACAAAUGCAACACCUUUUGGAAAUUUCAUUAUAAAAGAAGCAACCAAUUUGA